CCUGACUCUGGGGUUCACAUCUAUCCGUGGGAAAUGCAAGACGCGGGGACAGGCAUUCUGGGUUGCAGGCAGAAACCCAGGGCAAUGGACUGUUUUUGCCACAGGCCACUCAAAAGGGAAUGAAGGUUUGUGAAUGGUCUCCGGUCCUGAUCUCUUCCACGCUCUUGAGAAUAGAGCCACAUCCUGUUUUUGGAAUCUGGAUGUUGCUGUGCUGACGGCCUGUGCUGUGG
rnacentral:lncRNA from 1 species